UACGUAGGGGGCAAGCGUUGUCCGGAUUUAUUGGGCGUAAAGAGCGUGUAGGCGGCUUUACAGGUCCGUUGUGAAAACUCGAGGCUCAACCUCGAGACGCCGGUGGAAACCGUAAAGCGUAAGAGUCCGGAAGAGGAGAGUGGAAUUCCUGGUGUAGGCGGUGAAAUGCGUAGAGAUGCGGAGGAACACCGAUGGCGAAGGCAGCCCCCUGGCUGACA
rnacentral:rRNA from 1 species